UCUCAUUUCACUACUUUCUUUCUAACUCUUUACAUACUCUUUCUUUGAUUUCUUCUUCGAUUCUUGAUCAAAUCUUUUUAAAUUUGUCUUAAAAUGGCAAGUUCUUCAUCCAGAUCGGCAAGCAGCACCCCUAGUUGCACCUGAUUGGUGACUUUUCAUCGUCAAAUUCUCGUCAAACUGACUUAGGGUUGGAAAAAAAGGAGGAAAUCCCCAUUUUGGUUAAGUUGAGCACGCAUCGGGCUUUCUCGAUCAUCGAUGAGAGUGUACAUCGUGUCGAUCAGAUUUGCUGGGAACUUCUACGGUACCAUAAGUGGUUUGAUGACCUAUCGAGCUUUGUUCAGGCUUGGAUAAGCGACAUUGAGUUCUACUAAUUUCUUGCCUAUGCAAAAGACCACUCGCUGUCUGGCCUACCAAAGCAUCCCACUCCACUAUAGAGGCUUCACCCCUCGGUCUGCUCGAGAGAUCGACUAGAUGGCCUAAUCUUUUAUGGUUUACUUGUUCGGGACCACCUUGUUCUGCGACUCGAGGAAUUUGCUGAACUUUCACUAUUUAGCCCUUUUGAGAGAUUUGCACCUAGUCUCUUCAUACAAUUGGGGGUUUGUUGUACUGGCUUAAUUGUACUAGCAAAUGGACAUUACAAUUUGCAUAAGCAAGAGGCGUUACUGCAUUUGGCAUAUUGUACAUGUGCGGGCCUUGGAGCUCGGCCUUAUGGUAGGUUCUCAACCUAUUAGUACUUCUCAGGCUUUCUCCCAUUUGAGCUGCCAGGGCUCGAGCAUGAGCGUCUCCUUGGAGUGGGCGUAGGUCCACGUGCACCACCUGUGGAUUAAGUCUUUAUCCUAGGACUAGAUUUGUGCUAAUUGGCUCGGGGACCGCCGAUACUAGGAUCCCUACAUGCUAUCUACUCUUGAUAUUGAGCACAUGAGAAUACUCUUCACAGGUACUGCUUUCCGAGUAUGGUACUUAGGCGAGCGAAUUUAUGGUUAGGAGAGAGGCCUAGCCGCCAACAAGUUCUAGCUGCCAACAAGUUCCCAUGUCACCACCUCUAUCUAUGUUUUAGACAGCUAACUUAGUAGAUGAGGAGCUGGCAGAGUGUCUUGAAGGCUACGAUGACCUCAAAAAGCUUACUAUUAGGUCACAAAGGUUACACAUCUUUUUACGACGCAACUAUUGGGAUAUGUGCCCCUUAGACAAGGAUACCAUUGCUCAAGUACUUUCUCACCACUCUUCUUUUAUUCAAUUAUCAUUAUAUAGUUGUCUAAAUAUUGUUCUCGUGUUACAAUUCUCAUGUCCCGGUGCUCCUCGGGUCUCCGAGUUGGAAGAGAGGCGGCCAGCUCGCCAUCUUUGGGCCAGUCGUAUUUCUAGUUCCUCGACUAUUACUGCUUCUGAGGCACCCCCGAUGCUGAUGUCAGACGUGAUCUGUAAGAGCAUCCCGUUCCAUUCGGAUUCGAUUGUAUCAUAUUGGAGCCCUUUUGGUAUGGUAGACCAUGACUGGCCCUAGAGUCGAGCCUUCUUCUAAAGUUCACUCCGAGCAGCUGUACACAAAUUUAAAGAGAUCAGUUUGAGCGCAUACAUCGGCUCGCUGUGGCUGCUAGAAAACAGUUCUUUGACAUCGGUGAGGACUGGAGGAGGGACCAUUAGGGCUUAUAGGGGCAGGUGGAUGCCCAAAAAUGGUAGAUUGAGACCUUGAAGCUCUAGCUGUCUGCUCUUUGAACUUAAGGUUUAGAGGCUGAUUCCGAUGAGUGGAUGGAUGACUCGGGGGAGGGCCCCAAUAAAUUUUGAUUAGAUUAGCUUCUUUUUAUGCUUUUUGAAUACUGCCUUGUAUUAACAUUUUCUUAUUGCACUUUUUAUAAACCAGAUUUUGAAUAUUAUAAUGAUCUUGUUUACAUUAAA